UACAGAGGUCCCAAGCGUUGUUCGGAUUCACUGGGCGUAAAGGGUGCGCAGGCGGUCGGGUAAGUCUGACGUGAAAUCUUCAAGCUCAACUUGGAAACUGCGUCGGAUACUAUUCGGCUAGAGGAAUGGAGGGGAGACUGGAAUUCUCGGUGUAGCAGUGAAAUGCGUAGAUAUCAGGAAGAACACCCGUGGCGAAGGCGGCUCUCUGGGACGUGACUGACGCUGAGACGCGAAAGCGUGGGGAGCGAACAGG
rnacentral:rRNA from 1 species